GACGUAGGGGGCGAGCGUUGUCCGGAAUUACUGGGCGUAAAGCGUCCGCAGGUGGCUUUGUAAGUCUGUCGUUAAAGCGUGGAGCUCAACUCCAUAUCGGCGAUGGAAACUACAAGACUAGAGUUUGGUAGGGGUCACGGGAAUUCCUAGUGUAGCGGUGAAAUGCGUAGAUAUUAGGAAGAACACCAGCGGCGAAAGCGCGUGACUGGGCCAAUACUGACACUCAUGGACGAAAGCUAGGGGAGCGAAAGGG
rnacentral:rRNA from 1 species